AAUUAUUUAGUUAUUUGCUUAAAAUAAGCAUUUUAUAUUUUACACAAUUUUCAUUCCAUGCACAAUAACAAAAGUAUUCCGUGUUUACAGAUAUUAAGUGUUGCCAUAAUUACACAUAUAUCAAACGAAUAAGAAUGGAUAUAAAAACUCAAACGCAGAAAACAAAUACUAUCUGAAAUAAAUUUUCCAUUGUAAUAAGAAAAUUUUUAAGGCUUUAUUGGCGGCCUUCGGCCGCGCUUCAAAAAAAAUAACCCUGGCCAAUCCAACACCGGGGUGUAUCAAGUUUUUUUUUUAAUUAAAACUCCUUUUCGCGUUGGCGGCCUUCGGCCGCGCUUCAAAAAAAUAACCCUGGCCGAUCCAACACCGGGGUGUAUCAAGUUUCUUUUAAGUAAAACUCCUUUUCGCGUUGGCGGCCUUCGGCCGCGCUUCAAAAAAAUAACCCCGGCCGAUCCAACACCGGGGUGUAUCAGGUUUCUUUUAAGUAAAACUCCUUUUCGCGUUGGCGGCCUUCGGCCGCGCUUCAAAAAAAUAACCCUGGCCGAUCCAACACCGGGGUGUAUCAAGUUUUUUUU